ACACACACACACACACACACACACACACACAAACAAAUGCACACAGUAAAGUCUUCACAGUAUUUACUUCAGGAGCCACGAUACUCUUCACCUCCUCGAAGACAAUUUAAUUCUAUACUUUUCAUGAAGAAAAGAUAAAACAUUCAAUAUUAAUCACUUCAGUUGUUUAUUUGUUCAGAAUAAAAAAGUGUAAGAAUGUUGCUGUAUCUUCUGGUUCUUUCGAGUUUCUACUUCAGCAGCAGCCACGGACACACUGAAUUCAUUUAUACAGCAAAUGAAGUGCAAUUGGAUUGCAACAGCAGUAAAUGGCAUAUAAGUGAAAUGUCUGAGAGCAGAUUUGAUAGGAAUUGCAAAAUGCUGUGUGAUCAAAUUUGUGGUCGCACAUAUACAAAUCGGAAUUAUAUCGAUCAAUCCUGCACAAAGACAGAUUCAGACAAAGUUGGUGAAAACUGUCCUCUAAUAGCAAGAAGUGGAUUUUUUCGAUGUGUUUCUGCUCUGGAUUCUGGUCUCUUGUAUCCAUUCAAACCGUCUCCCAACACUGUUACAUCAUACGUAGUCGCUCACGCAAAUGAAGAAAUGACGACCAAAUCUGAGGAAAGAUCUUCAGUCGAGCUAACUGAAGGGGGAGAUGUUCUGUUAAACUGCAGUUUUCACUUUACAGCAGGAUAUGACCACCAGGGAUUUACUGUGUACUGGAUUAAGACCAUUGAAAGGAGCAGCAGCUGUGUGUAUUCUUAUGAUUUGGACAUGAUUGUUGUUAAGUACAAUCACCACUGCAAUGUGCAAGAAGAUCUGCUUCACAGGCUCUCAAACCAAACUGAUAGCAAAACCAGCCAUAACAUCAGGAUCAGAAAUGUAACAGAGUCAGAUGCUGGACAAUAUCUCUGUGUCUUACACGUGCACAGACAUUACAAUAAAACAAAAGGCAACUGGAAGAUCAUAAAUAAUAUUACAGCAGUAAUGAUAUCGAGUCUCUCAUCCGCUUAUGUGUUACACUGCCAAUAAUCCUGGUUGUUCCGAUGGCUGUUAUGGGGGUUUAUUUCUGUAGAAAGACUGAAACUUCACCAGAUUUUCUUUCUGACCUUGUGAUCCAGUUCAUCUCAGAGCACUUCAGUAGGAUUGAGGUAUGGUGACUGGGCAGGAGAGAACUCGGAUGUAUUCGUUGCUUUGGCUCUUUGUCUCGUUGCAGGCAUGUUGGUUCAGGAUUCCUUUCACUUUCUGGAAAAAGCCUCCAAAUGUCCCUGCUUUAAAACAACCCCAACCCAUUAAGCUUCAUGUGUGACUGUGGGGGUGAGGGAGUCUGAUCACAUCUUCUCUCCAGUCCUUGUGUGUUUUUGCCUUUUUCCAAGUUUGUUGCAUGGAAGUGAAAGAAACCUGUUUGUUUCUCAACAAUCAUAAAAGACUCUGUUUCUACACGUUUCACAGCCACUGUAUGUUAAAAACCCAAUGUGCUAUACAUCAUUUAAUAUAAUUGUUGAUUUUUGCAGGAUUUCAGGUGAUGGAACCGCAAACGCUGUAGCAGAGAGAAGACACUUGAGGUCAGAAAGAGAGAGAGAGAGAGAGAGAGAGAGAGAGAGAGAGAACAUAAUUCCAUUUCUAAUUUUUACUGUAAAUUGCAAAUUACUUUACUGCAGCUGAAUUUAUUUUUAUCAUAAUCUGUCCCAGAUCAGUUGUAAAACGCAAUUCCCUGCAUGUUGUACUGUGUGUGUGUGUGUGUGUGUGUGUGUGUGUGUGUGUGUGUG